rnacentral:rRNA from 1 species
GAAUAUUGGGCAAUGGGCGAAAGCCUGACCCAGCAACGCCGCGUGAGGGAAGAAGGUCUUCGGAUUGUAAACCUCUGUCCUUGGGGACGAAGGACGUGACGGUACCCAAGGAGGAAGCUCCGGCUAACUACGUGCCAGCAGCCGCGGUAAUACGUAGGGAGCGAGCGUUGUCCGGAAUUACUGGGCGUAAAGGGUGCGUAGGCGGCAUGGCAAGUCAGAUGUGAAAUCCCCGGGCUUAACCCGGGAGCUGCAUUUGAAACUGUCGUGCUUGAGUGCAGGAGAGGAAAGCGGAAUUCCUAGUGUAGCGGUGAAAUGCGUAGAUAUUAGGAGGAACACCAGUGGCGAAGGCGGCUUUCUGGACUGCAACUGACGCUGAGGCACGAAAGCGUGGGGAGCAAACAG